CAGAAAGGCCUGGAGGAAAGAAGUGGAGUAAAACAAAAGAAAAUAAUCCCUCCAAAGCUCUUUGUGGACUGUUCCUUCUGCAGCCUGGCUUGGCAUGAUAAGGCAUACAUGGGAACCAGACCAGUGCUUCCCAGGAAAACUCAUCACUAAGGAGUAUUGAAGGAUUGCAUCAAAUACAGCAGCAAAAUAUCCCAGAGCUGACAACAUUCACCAUGCUGGAUGUCUGCUGAGUUUAUGGCAGAGGGGAUGCUGAAGUAACCUGUGGAAACAAGUCAGCUUCCCUUGGCCAUGGGAGAAAACCAGCAAAUCCCUUUAAGUUAAUCCAACUGAUGAUUGUUCACCUGGCCAGAAAUAAAUUGUCCUUCAUCAAGGAUUCAAGAAACCAGCAAAUUUUUGGUCUCUCUGUAUGUGUCACUGAAGAUUUGUGCCCCACUACAGAGGGAAUUUCUGCACACCAUUGCAACACAUGAACAUGAGACAAAACACACCUGCUGGCUUCACAAGGCUAUUGUACUUCAAGUUUUGCUUAAAAGCAAGCACCUUGUCCCUGUGGCUGCUUGUCCUAUCAUCGGACUGCUGCACUUGCAGCUUGAAAAUCUGAAUGGAAGCCUGACAGGUGAAUUCAGCAAGGCAGAAGACAUCUUACAGCCCCAUGAGAUGUAGAGCACUUUGCCAAACAUCCUUCACAGCCAUCCUGCUGGGAAAACCAUCUU